GCUCAGGAUGAACGCUAGCGGCAGGCCUUAUACAUGCAAGUCGAGGGGCAGCAGGACACUUCGGUGUUGCUGGCGACCNGGCGAACGGGUGAGUAAUACGCAUGUAAUCUACCUUGUACUGGAGAAUAGCUUCCAGAAAUGGAAAUUAAUACACCAUAAAAUCUUAGCAGCGCAUGCUGUUAAGCUAAAAGCUCCGGCGGUACAAGAUGAGCGUGCGUCCUAUUAGCUAGUUGGUGAGGUAAAAGCUCACCAAGGCUACGAUAGGUAGGGGUUCUUAGUGGAAGGCCCCCACACUGGCACUGAGAUACGGGCCAGACUCCUACGGGAGGCAGCAGUAAGGAAUAUUGGCAAUGGGNCAAGCCUGAACCAGCCAUGCCGCGNCAGGAUGAAGCCCUCAGGUUGUAAACUGCUUUUGACAGGACAAAAAGCUUCUGCGAAGUACUGAGUGACUGUAAGAUAGCACUGCUAACUCCGUGCACAGC
rnacentral:rRNA from 1 species